GAGAGAUACCAGAUGCGCUGAAGCUCCAGCCCAAGAUGGACGUACGCUAGAAUCUACCUGGGCAUAAGCUAGCCGGUGGCUGGGAGCCGGGUGGCGGGAAGCCGGCCCACAGCUCCACACUACAUGCAACCAUGAAGUUUCAUCAUCCCAGGCUCAUCAAUGUCUCCUUGGACCUUUGCCACUGUGUACUCCUGACAAAACUGAGUGUUCUCUCUGCUCUCCAAUGUCUUUAUAUGUCACCCUCAGCAGUUCUUGCUUGGACAGCUAUGGUGUGGAAUGCUGGUGUAAACUCUUAGUGGAGCAGGGGAAUUGACCAAAGUGUGCAGAGACACAGCGGAAGGUUCUCUGGCCCCUAGCACCAACAUUCUUCUAUGUCCUUCAUGGUCAUGGCUGCCUGUUCAGCUUCAUCUGUCCACACCCUCUGAACUGACCAGAUUUUGGGUUUUCCAGACCUUCUGAGAAAAAGACCAGACACUCUGUACCCACCGGAUUUCCUGUGCUGAACAGAGCCUGCUCUAGGCCACCUCUUGGACAUGGCUGUCCCACCCUGUCCUUAGGCCUUUACUGGAUUGUGACCCCAUACAUUCUUUUCCACUGGGAUUGCGGAAGCCCCGCCUCCACUCUACCUACUCUUGUCAAGGAUUUUGGAUGCCCCUCCCCUUAUCGUGGUCACUAGUGACCAGGUGCUGACAGUAUCCUCACCGCAAAUAUGUCAAGUGUAUGUUCUCCAUGUAGCCAUGUAGUCCUGAGGAUUAGCUUGCCUUAUAUUUUCCAAGGUUCCACCCAAGGGUGAGGCUGAGCCAACCUGAUCCCAUCAGCCCACAGCACUUCUUUACUUGAUGCUCAGAUAAGGGUACACAAACCGAGCAAAGAGAGGGACACAUCACCCCACCACACACACACACACACACACACACACACACACACACACACGUGACAUCCCCUAAUGUCUAGCCUCUGGCUUCAAAGUACCAUUAGUCCAGACCAGAAGAUGUGGGACUCACACCAAACAAGGAAUGUAUUGAGCUGAGCAGGGGGGAUGCAUGUUUGUUCCCUGUUGAAUUAUUAAAUAAAAUGAAAUUUAAAACUAUUUAAUGAAUUUCAGAGCCCUUCAGCAGAAGAAGUGUGGCUUGAAGCAUUAAAAUCUGUGAUCGCAUAUGAUCACAUUUAUAUGUAUCUUGAAAGAUGAUUUUGUUUGAGAGCUAAAGGGCCAUAUGGAAGGGUGCAGCCUGAAAUAGUCAAGAACUUUAUUUUAAUUAAAGGGCAGAGACAUUUGGUUAUUUCUUAAGUCUCCAAAUGCUUACAUUUCUCUGAUCUUUCAGGAUAAUAUACGGUUGAGACACAGGUCUCGACUCACUAGCGAUCCUUUUCUUUUAAGUCAAAGCCUGUGUGUGGAUCAAGAGAAAAAUGGGAUUAGCAUGGAUGCUGCCUUCUUCUCAAUGACCCACAGCUCUUCCUCCCUUGGCAGAUCACAGCCUUGCACUGACAGGAGCUGGAAGCCACAACUUCUGCCAGCAGCAACCACUGCUGCCUUUUGUAAUUGUUUCUGUUCCCUGGAGACAGCUGCUUCGAGCUCCAUCUCUGAUUGCAGUAUCUAUCUUUCCGGGCCCACUGGUACAGGCUGCUGUUCUCACCUCUGACUUCCAGCCAAGUCCUUACAGGUCAGCCUCCUUAUAAAGGAUUCCACAUCUUCAUUUGCCUGUGCUUCUCCACCACCCGGGAUGUUCCCUACAUGUGAUUACCCAAAGCUACCUUCCCGGAUUAUCCAGACCCACAGCACACUGACACCAGAAAUUUCCCUUCUCAGGGUCUCGAUCAUGUAGUUGGCAGUCUGAGCUCAGCGUGUUGGGAGGGUUGAUUCCCAUGUCACACUCGCUAUCCUACAGCAGGAGAACUGUAUGUUCAUCUGUGGAGAAAGCACACUCGUGAUCUUAUGGUCACCUCACAAGGGCCCCACCUCCAAGGGGGCACAAGUACUCUGCCUGUAAACAAGGGCUGAUGACAACCCAAGCAAGGACUCUGCUGCCUCAGAUCUAUAGAGACCCCCAGAUUCCUGGGGACAUGAGUAGGUGCUCGGUGUGGGUAAACAUGAAGAGUGACUGCACAAUUUUAGACACAAAAUGAUUUAAAAUGCAAUGCAAAAAUGCAUAUUUUCACCAUCAUUCCCACCUCAACCUUUCAGGCCAAUGUAAAGAUGCUUUUAUCUUCCCAGAAACAGUCAUUGUCAAGGCCUGUCUCUGAUCUCAAGAGAGAUUUGGCUUUACCUGUAAAAAUUCAUUGGUCCCCUCCAUUUGUCUGGUGACCACCCAAGUGGACCCGCCAAUACCUGUGGCAUGUAGGAAUGACAUACCAUGAGAUCAUUCACGACACUGUUUCAGUUCUCACAUUCAUGGAUACAUGCCCUGAACUCUGGCGAAAUGCCUUCUCUGUCCCCAAUAGACAUCACAUGCUGAUGGUUUUCUGGCUUUUCUUAAACUAAUGUGUCUGAUUCAGGGGUCCAGAUUUGGGUUUGCAGAGUAGGUCUGUCACUAGGGUCUUCUCACUGAUGCUUGGUUCAUAGGCUUUGCCUGCCGUCUUCAAAGCAGGAAUCCAGCUAACAACAGCUGUGAUUAACUGUGCUUCCCUCCCUGUCUCAUAUUUUCUUUUUUAUAAACUUGUUCCUCCAUCUUUGCCACAUCCUUGUUUAAAUUCCUGUGUUAGUCCUGCUUUAAAUCUCCAAUGUGGAAAAUAGAUUCUAAAAAAAAAAAACUUUCUUGCAUGUUUAAAAGCUGCUACCUACCCAGAGGUAUCAUUGAGUCAUGUCUCAUAAUUCUGCCAUGAGAAAUCUUUCAGUAUUGUUCAUGUUAUUUUCUAUAAUUAAAAAAUCUUUUUAUAUAUGUUUCAACAGUUUAUAGUAUAGAAAUGUGAAAGUCUUUCAAAGAAGGAUCAUUUUUUUUUAGUUGGUUGGGUUUUUGUUUGUUUGUUUGUUUGAUACAGGAUUUCUCUUUGUAGCUCUGCCUGUUCUAAAAGUCUCUCUGUACAUCAGGCUGGCUUCAAGCUCAGAGAUCCACCUGCUUCUGCCUCCUGAGUACUGGGAUUAAAGGCGUUUGCUACCACCACCCAACAAAGGAUCAUUUUGUUGGCUGUGAAAAAAAUCUAUGCUAGGAUUCCUUUUGGGGCUUAAACUACUUCCAUGUAUUCUUAGUUACAUUUGUAUGAACAAUGGAAGUUUUUCCAUUGAAAAAAAUGGGAAACAGGUAAAUUAAUUUAAAAAAUAGCUAUGUCCAAAUGUGUGUAUAUGUGUAUUAGUGUGUGUUAGUGUAAGUGUAUGUACAAGGAUGUAAGUGUAUAAGCAUGAGUCCAUGCGUGGAGAUAUGUAUAUGUAAGUCUGUGUGUGUGUACGUAUUCACCAAAAAAAAUUUACAUCCUGGCUAACCGAGAGAACUAAACUUUUAGUUUCUUCCAUUUGUUACCUCUAGCACUGCAAAAACUUCAUAGCAUUUGUAGAAGAGGCAGAAGGGGCAUCCAUGAUAUUGUUCCUUUUAUUUCGAGUACAGGACCAGGUUGCUACAAGGUCUGGGAGAUUCUAUCACCCAAAGAGACAAAGCUCCAUGGAGUCUCCCUGGAAAACACCCUAGCUCCUGUCCUUGUAAACAUAUCACAUUCUUGCUGGCAGAGCCCUGUGGACUGACCUGGAUUUGAGCAUCUCCCCUUUACCAGUGGUCAGUGCUCUUUGAGCACAGAAACCGAGAGUUAACAGCUGUAAUUACAAACAUGAGAGCCGCAUGCCAGCUUGGACCACAGCUGAAUGCAAAGCCAGGCUUCUAGCAUCUCAUUCAUCUUCACCCUGCACAUCUGAGUGUGUGGAGGGCAUGCUCACUGUGACCUGGCUACAAAGUCUCCAGUGAUUCCACUUUCCAAGCUGAUUAAUUUCAAUUUAAUUUCAACUUAAAUUGAGUUGAUUUAAAUUUAGUCUUUUCUGCUCCCCCUUCCCCAACUCAGACACUAAAGUGACCCUGGCUAUGUAACCCAGUCAAAGAAAAUACCUCGAUUCAUCCUGGUCUGAAGUAGUGGCUGUGAGCAUCUAGGCUCUCAGUAAUACAGAUGCUUCAGAAUCUGGCCCAUCCUCUUUCCCAAGAUGACACCUCUCUUGCCUCCCCAGCAUCCAACACCACACCCCUCCUUUUCACUCAUCAGGCUGCCAUGGAGAUCUUUAUCCCAUGCUUAUGCGAAAGCUGUGCCUGCGUUCUCACCACCAGACUUGACACCUUGGUCUGGCUUCACUCUGUCCACCCAUCGUUCUCAGAGGACAACCUGCCUUGGCUUCAUCUCAGACUGAGUCGAGCAUUAGCUUUCUGAAGACUGCACCAUGCUACUCCAUCAUUCAACACAUUCUUUCUGUGCUGAGCUCCUCCCUUGGAAUAGCACUAAGUCCAAGUACCUGGAGGCAGAGAAACAGGCUCCAAGGCAGUUCUUCUCCCUCCACUGGGAGAUGAAGAAGUAGCAGAAGGAGAUGUUUGAAGAAGAGACAGAGGGAUGUGAACAGUGCCUGCGUGUCCUUCAGGAAGGAAAUGAAGGCUGAAGCAGUCUUCCUUGCCACACUGUUUUGUUGUUGUUUGCUACUUCCAUUCGCAACAACAACUAGCUUUCCUAGAACUACCACUACUUGAAUUCACAGAAAACUGCAAGAUUUAUUUCUGGAAUGAUCAAAGCUCUUCUAUAUACCCAUACAAAAAUAGUCACAAGACAAUUUAGUUAAAGCGUAAUCUAUAAUUUCACUGAACAUCAAAUGAUUCUUGGUGCAAAUUUAACUCUCACCAAAUAAUCCAAUUAAAAAAAUGGAUCCAAACAGAAUUCUCAACAGAAGAAUAUUAAAUGACUGAAAGACACCUAAAGAGCUGUCAACAUCUUUAGCCAUCAGGGAAACGCAAAUCAAAAUGACUCUGAGAUACCAUCUUACGCCAGUCAGAAAAUACCAAGAAAAGCUUAUGCUGAGAGGAUGCGGAGUAAGGGGAACACUCCUGCAUUGCUGGUGGGAGUGCAAACUUGUACAGUCACUGUGGAAGUCAGUAUGACAAUUUCUCAGACAAUUGGUAAUCAAUCUACCUCAAGACCCAGUAAUACCACUCUUGAGCAUAUACCCAAAGGAUGCACUCUAAUACCACAAGGAUAUUUGCUCAACUGUGUAUAUAAUAGCAUUAUUGAUGAUAGCCAGAACCUGGAAACAACAUAGAUGCCCCUCAAACAAAGAAUGAAUUUUAAAAAUGUGGUACAUUUACACAAUAGAGUACUACUCAGUGGUAAAAACCAUGAUAUCUUGA